GAUGAACGCUGGCGGCGUGCUUAACACAUGCAAGUCGAACGGAAAGGCCGAAGCUUGCUUCGGUACUCGAGUGGCGAACGGGUGAGUAACACGUGGGUGAUCUGCCCUGUACUUCGGGAUAAGCUUGGGAAACUGGGUCUAAUACCGGAUAUGACAAUCUCUUGGAUGGGGUUGUGGAAAACUUUUGCGGUAUGGGAUGAGCUCGCGGCCUAUCAGCUUGUUGGUGGGGUAAUGGCCUACCAAGGCGUCGACGGGUAGCCGGCCUGAGAGGGUGUACGGCCACAUUGGGACUGAGAUACGGCCCAGACUCCUACGGGAGGCAGCAGUGGGGAAUAUUGCACAAUGGGCGCAAGCCUGAUGCAGCGACGCCGCGUGGGGGAUGACGGCCUUCGGGUUGUAAACUCCUUUCGCAACCGACGAAGCUUUUUGUGACGGUAGGUUGAGAAGAAGCACCGGCUAACUACGUG
rnacentral:rRNA from 1 species